rnacentral:rRNA from 1 species
UUUGAGUGGAUUUGAUUCUAGUACGAGAGGACCGAGUCGGACAAACCUCUGGUGUAUCUGUUGUUCCGCCAGGAGCACCGCAGAGUAGCUACGUUUGGAAGGGAUAAGCGCUGAAAGCAUAUAAGCGCGAAACCCACCACAAGAUGAGAUUUCUUUUAAAGGUCGUGGAAGAUGACCACGUUGAUAGGCUAUAGAUGUAAAGGCAGUAAUGUC